rnacentral:rRNA from 1 species
GUGCAGCAGUCGCGAAACCUCCGCAAUGCGCGCAAGCGCGACGGGGCCAUCCCGAGUGCCGCUCGCUGAGGGCGGCUUUUCUCCGGUGUAAGUAGCCGGAGGAAUAAGGAGAGGGCAAGUCUGGUGUCAGCCGCCGCGGUAAUACCAGCUCUCCGAGUGGUGGGGACGAUUAUUGGGCCUAAAGCGUCCGUAGCCGGCUUGACAAGUCUCCCGUUAAAUCCAGCGGCCUAACCGCUGGGCUGCGGGAGAUACUGUCAAGCGUUGGGGGCGGGAGAGGCCAGCGGUAUUCCCGGGGUAGGGGUGAAAUCCGUUAAUCCCGGGAGGACCACCAGUGGCGAAGGCGGCCGGCCAGAACGCGCCCGACGGUGAGGGACGAAAGCGUGGGGGAGCGAACCGGAUUAGAUACCCCCGUAGU